GGUCGAGGACCCAUCAGCCUUUCUUCCACCCUCCCUGGCACUCUGUAUUGAACCGUGGAACACUCUAGUAGAAACAGCCAAACAAGUUGCCUCUGGUCAUUCCUGCAUCAGACAUUUGUUGACUACUGCAGAGAGCAUGGAGAAGUUCAGCAUUGUAGAGACUACAAACCUGUGUAGACUGGCCAAAUCCAGAGAAAACAUCCUUGGAAGUAGGUGCAAUUUGAGACAGCAUGAACAGGGGAGGGGCAGAGAGAGAGGGAGACACAGAAUCCAAAGCAAGCUCCAGGCUCUGAGCCAUCAGCACAGAGCCUGAUGCAGGGCUUGAACUCAUGAACCAUGAGAUGAUGACCUGAGCUGAAGUCAGACACUUAACUGACUGAGCCACCCAGGUGCCCUGAUGUUUGCAUUUUCAUAAGUAGCUUUAACCAUUUUUAUCUCCAUACAAAUUCUUGUGUCCACUUAUAUUGCCUAGAUUAUUCUCUACUUAGAGAUUUUAUAAAGGGAAUAUUUACACCUGGU